UACAGAGGGUGCGAACGUUGCUCGGAAUUACUGGGCGUAAAGCGCGUGUAGGCGGUCCGUUAAGUUGGUAGUGAAAUCCCAUGGCUCAACCAUGGAAGUGCUGCCAAAACUGGCGGGCUGGAGUGCCGGAGAGGGUGGCGGAAUUCCCAGUGUAGAGGUGAAAUUCGUAGAUAUUGGGAGGAACACCGGUGGCGAAGGCGGCCCCCUGGACGGUAACUGACGCUAAGACGCGAAAGCGUGGGGAGCAAACAGG
rnacentral:rRNA from 1 species